GCGUCUCAUGCUAAACUGUGUCCGCAGAAGUAAUGCCACUCGGUCAUGGGUAGAAUGGGAACGCAGAUCAAAAUAGGUUUUAAUAUUAUCCUUGUGCUUGAAAGAUAUAGCCUCUUCUUGCUCUCAUGGAAACUAAAGCCACAAUA
rnacentral:snoRNA from 1 species